rnacentral:rRNA from 1 species
UGGCGAACGGGUGAGUAUCACGUGAGAAAACAACCCCGGUCUCUGGGAUAACAGUUGGAAACGACUGCUAAUACUGGAUGUCGUCGUACCCUCGCAUGGGGGGAUGACGAAAGGGUUACCGGAUCGGGACGGUCUCGCGGCCUAUCAGCUUGUUGGGGAGGUAACGGCUCACCAAGGCUUCGACGGGUAGCUGGUCUGAGAGGAUGAUCAGCCACACUGGGACUGAGACACGGCCCAGACUCCUACGGGAGGCAGCAGUGGGGAAUCUUGCGCAAUGGGCGAAAGCCUGACGCAGCAACGCCGCGUGCGGGAUGAAGGCCUUCGGGUUGUAAACCGCUUUUAACAGGAACGAAAAUGACGGUACCUGUAGAAUAAGGUGCGGCCAACUACGUGCCAGCAGCCGCGGUUGACACGUAGGCACCAAGCGUUGUCCGGAUUUAUUGGGCGUAAAGAGCUCGUAGGCGGUUCAGUAAGUCGGGUGUGAAAACUCUGGGCUUAACCCAGAGACGCCACUCGAUACUACUGUGACUAGAGUUCGGUAGGGGAGCGGGGAAUUCCUAGUGUAGCGGUGAAAUGCGCAGAUAUU